AUAAUAUACGUGUACGGGGUCGGUAUUGCGGAUACUGUCGUUUCUGGGCAUUUUGUUGCCAUUCAACAGAAACCCUGAAUACCGUCACUCGUACAAAUAA
rnacentral:pre_miRNA from 1 species